rnacentral:tRNA from 1 species
GGGCGCUUAGCUCAGCGGGAGAGCGCUACGUUGACAUCGUAGAGGCCACUGGUUCAAUCCCAGUAGCGCCCACCA